GUGAGUGUGAGUGGGUGUGUGAGUGUGGGUGUGUGAGAGUGUGUGAUGUGUGAGUGUGCAUGGGUGUGUGUGUGAGUGUGGGUGUGCGAGAGUGUGCGAUGUGUGAGUGUGCGUGGGUGUGACAGGGUGAGUGUGAGUGUGGGUGUGUGAGAGUGUGUGAUGUGUGAGUGGGUGUGGGUGUGAGUGUGAGUGUGGGUGUGUGAGAGUGCGAGUGAAUGUGCAUGGGUGAGUGCGUGUGAGUGUGGGUGUGUGAGAGUGUGAUGUGUGAGUGUGAGUGUGCGAUGUGUGAGUGUGCGAUGUGUGAGUGUGGGUGUGUGAGUGUGGGUGUGUGAGAGUGUGUGAUGUGUGAGUGUGCGUGUGAGUGUGAGUGUGCGAUGUGUGAGUGGGUGUGACAGGGUGAGUGUGAGUGGGUGUGUGAGUGUGUGAUGUGUGAGUGGGUGUGACAGGGUGAGUGUGAGUGGGUGUGUGAGAGUGUGUGAUGUGUGAGUUGUGGAAGGGUGAGUGUGUGAGGGUGUGAAUGAGUGUGAGUGUGAGUCUCAGUGUGUGAUGGUGUGAGUGUGAGUGAGGGUGUGAGUGUGGGUGUGAGGGGGAGUGUAUGCGUGAGGGGGAGUUGAGUGUGAGUGUGGAAGGGUGAGUGUGCGAGGGUGUGAGUGUGAGUCUCAGUGAGUGAUGGUGUGAGUGUGAGCGUGGGUGUGAGAGUGUGUGUGAGGGGGAGUUCAGUGUGAGUGUGCAAGGGUGUGAGUGAGUGUGACUGUGUGUGUGAGUCUCAGUGAGUGAUGGUGUGUGUCAGUGUGAGUGUGUGUGAGUGUGAGUGUGUGUGUGUGAGGGUGUGAGUAUGGGGGUGUGAGUGUGUGUGUGUGCCUGAGGGUGUGAGUGUGUGUGUGUGUGUGAGUGUGAGUCUCAGUGUGUGAUGGUGUGAGUGUGUCAGUGUGUGUGAGUGUGUGAUGGUGUGAAUGUGUGUGAGUGUGAGUGUGUGACUGAGGGUGUAAAUUGUGUGUGACACUGCGAGUGUGUGUGUGUGAGUGUGUGUGAGUGUGAGAGUGUGCUGGUGUGAAUGUGUGUGUGUGUGUGAUGGUGAGUGUGAGUGUGUGCCUGAGGGUGUGAGUGUGUGUGUGUGUGUGUGAGUGUGAUUGAGAGUGUGAUGGUGUGAAUGUGUGUGUGUCAGUGUGAGUGUGGACUGAGGGUGUGUGUGUGUGAGUGUGACACUAAGAGUGUGUGAGUGUGUGUGUGUGAGUGUGACACUGCGAGUGUGCGAGUGUGUGUGUGUGUGAGUCACAGUGUGUGAUGGUGUGAGUGUGUCAGUGUGAGGGUGAGGGUGUGAGUGUGUGUGUGUGUGUCAGUGUGUGAGUGUGGGGGUGUCAGUGUGUGUGAGUGUGUGCCUGAGGGUGUGAGUGUGUGUGAGUGUGUGUGAGUCUCAGUGUGUGAUGGUGUGAAUGUGUGUGAGUGAGUGAGUGUGUGACUGAGGGUGUAAAUGUGUGUGUGUGACACUGCGAGUGUGUGAGUGUGAGUGUGUGUGUGUGUGUGUGUCAUGUGUGAGUGUGGGGGUGUCAGUGUGUGAGUGUGAGUGUGUGUGUGAGUGUGUGUGUCAGUGCGUGUGUGAUGGUGUGACUGUGUGUGUGUGUGAGUGUGUGCCUGAAGGUGUGAGUGUGUGUGUGUGUCUCAGUGUGUGAUGGUGUGAGUGUGUCAGUGUGUGUGAGUGAGUGUGUGUGUGUGAGUGUGACACUGCGAGUGUGUGAGUGUGAGUGUGAGUGUGGACUGAGGGUGUGUGUGUGAGUGUGACACUAAGAGUGUGUGAGUGUGUGUGUGUGUGUGUGACACUGUGUGAGUGUGAGUGUGUGUGUGAGUGUGGGGGUGUCAGUGUGAGUGUGUCACUGUGUGUGUGAGUGUGAGUGUCAGUGUGUGAUGGUGUGAGUGUGUCAGUGUGUGUGAGUGUGUGUGUGUGAGUGUGACACUGUGAGUGUGAGUGUGUGUGAGUGUCAGUGUGUGAUGGUGUGAGUGUGUCAGUGUGUGUGAGUGUGUGUGUGUGAGUGUGACACUGUGAGUGUGAGUGUGUGUGAGUGUCAGUGUGUGAUGGUGUGAGUGUGUGAGUGUGAGUGUGUGAGUGUGUCAUAUGUGAGUGUGAGUGUGAUGGUGUGUAUGUGUGUGAGUGUGAGUGUGUGUGUGAGUGUGACACUGCGAGUGUGUAUGUCAGUGUGAGUGUGUCACGUGUGAGCGUGUUGGUGUGAGUGUGAGUGGCGCUGUGACGCUGAGUGUGCCCCCGCGUCACGUGGUGUCGUGACCUCUGACCUUUCCCCCCUCCCCUCCCCGCGCUGUCUCCGUGGGGGGGGGCGGAGCUGGGAAAAAAGAGGGGCGUGGCUUCUCCUGGCCACGCCCCCGAUCGCACCGCUUUCCCCGUUGCCACGGCAACAGCCGGCCAGGUGGUGCGUGACGUCACGGCGGCGCCAGCCAAUCGGGGCUCUCCCCGGCGCUGUUGUUGGGGAGGGAUCGAGCGUGGGGCGGGGUCACGUGCGCGGGGUCACG
ensembl:lncRNA